rnacentral:rRNA from 1 species
CUUCGGGUGUGACUGCGUACCUUUUGUAUAAUGGGUCAGCGACUUAUAUUGUGUAGCAAGGUUAACCGUAUAGGGGAGCCUCAGGGAAACCGAGUCUUAACUGGGCGUUAAGGUGCAGGGUAUAGACCCGAAACCCGGUGAUCUAGCCAUGGGCAGGUUGAAGGUUGGGUAACACUAACUGGAGGACCGAACCGACUAAUGUUGAAAAAUUAGCGGCUGACUUGUGGCUGGGGGUGAAAGGCCAAUCAAACCGGGAGAUAGCUGGUUCUCCCCGAAAGCUAUUUAGGUA